GAUUGGAGGUUCAAACAACUCAGCUGCCUGGGGGCGGCUGUAGUGGACGGGUUUAUGCACCGCUGGAGGGGGAUGCUCUUCACUUUGCAGUUUGCAUGCAUGAUGUAAUAUUUGCAACCUUGGCCUUGUUGACCAAGUUGACCAGAGCUAUUUCUUUUUUUCCUUUGACUGUUUGACAGCAUUAUGGGAUUCCUGACACUGUACACUGCAACCUUGCUUCUCACCAGGCUGACUUCUCCCCCGUGAUGCUUCAGUCUUGUCAUGGUAGGUGGGAGAGGCAUCCUUCUUCUUCUUCUUCUUCUAAAUAGCAACCUUCCUUUGAGUUUGGAGGUAGCAACCUUCAUUUGAGUUACGGACUGAAGAGGUCAGCCGUGAGGAGGAUCUCGGAGUCGCAGCGCCUUGGGUUUGACAGCGGCGAGGGAGGUUGGAGAUUCACCAUCUCUUUCUUCUUCAAGCUUCAGGAGAAGAUCAAGUCUAGAAUCGGGGAGUGUCUGGGAGUCAUAUUGUCUGUUUCUGUCAGUAUCUCUGUAUUACUCCUUUUGUGAGUGUAAGGCUUGUAUGCUGACUGUAUUUGUGUUUUGCAAACUGUUGAGUUGUAUUUGUAUUCUGUAGGGCUGCUAAAGCCCGUACUUGUAGUAUUUCAGUUUUUAGUAUCAUAUUCGUGCUUC